rnacentral:rRNA from 1 species
GACGAACGCUGGCGGCGUGCUUAACACAUGCAAGUCGAACGAUGAAGCCCAGCUUGCUGGGUGGAAGAGUGGCGAACGGGUGAGUAACACGUGAGUAACCUGCCCUGAACUCUGGGAUAAGCACUGGAAACGGUGUCUAAUACUGGAUACGACCUAUCACCGCAUGGUGUGUGGGUGGAAAGAUUUAUCGGUUCUGGAUGGACUCGCGGCCUAUCAGCUAGAUGGUGAGGUAAUGGCUCACCAUGGCGACGACGGGUAGCCGGCCUGAGAGGGUGACCGGCCACACUGGGACUGAGACACGGCCCAGACUCCUACGGGAGGCAGCAGUGGGGAAUAUUGCACAAUGGGCGCAAGCCUGACGCAGCAACGCCGCGUGAGGGAUGACGGCCUUCGGGUUGUAAACCUCUUUUAGUAGGGAAGAAGCGAAAGUGACGGUACCUGCAGAAAAAGCACCGGCUAACUACGUG